CCAAAGAAGUAUGGCCUUUAGGAGAGAGGCGGGCGAACUGGCUAAAACGCCAGGCUAGUGAUUCAGCGAGCAGUUGAGGUACCGGGAUCGAGCCCACCUGUGACCGGGUGUAAAAACCUUGGAGUCAACUUUGUGUGCAGACUCUUUCAGU